rnacentral:hammerhead_ribozyme from 1 species
AUAUAGCUGACGAGUCCCAAAAAGAACAAAACGCACGUCCUGGAU